GAUGAACGCUGGCGGCGUGCCUAAUACAUGCAAGUCGAGCGAACGGACGAGAAGCUUGCUUCUCUGCUGUUAGCGGCGGACGGGUGAGUAACACGUGGAUAACCUACCUAUAAGACUGGGAUAACUUCGGGAAACCGGAGCUAAUACCGGAUAAUAUUUUGAACCGCAUGGUUCAAAAGUGAAAGACGGUCUUGCUGUCACUUAUAGAUGGAUCCGCGCUGCAUUAGCUAGUUGGUAAGGUAACGGCUUACCAAGGCAACGAUGCAUAGCCGACCUGAGAGGGUGAUCAGCCACACUGGAACUGAGACACGGUCCAGACUCCUACGGGAGGCAGCAGUAGGGAAUCUUCCGCAAUGGGCGAAAGCCUGACGGAGCCACGCCGCGUGAGUGAUGAAGGUCUUCGGAUCGUAAAACUCUGUUAUUAGGGAAGAACAUAUGUGUAAGUAACUGUGCACAUCUUGACGGUACCUAAUCAGAAAGCCACGGCUAACUACGUG
rnacentral:rRNA from 1 species